rnacentral:rRNA from 1 species
AAACCAACAGGGAUUGCCUUAGUAGCGGCGAGUGAAGCGGCAAAAGCUCAAAUUUGAAAUCUGGCACUUUCAGUGUCCGAGUUGUAAUUUGAAGAAGGUAUCUUUGGGUCUGGCUCUUGUCUAUGUUUCUUGGAACAGAACGUCACAGAGGGUGAGAAUCCCGUGCGAUGAGAUGACCCAGACCUAUGUAAAGUUCCUUCGAAGAGUCGAGUUGUUUGGGAAUGCAGCUCUAAGUGGGUGGUAAAUUCCAUCUAAAGCUAAAUAUUGGCGAGAGACCGAUAGCGAACAAGUACAGUGAUGGAAAGAUGAAAAGAACUUUGAAAAGAGAGUGAAAAAGUACGUGAAAUUGUUGAAAGGGAAGGGCUUGAGAUCAGACUUGGUAUUUUGUAUGUUACUCUUUCGGGGGUGGCCUCUACAGUUUACCGGGCCAGCAUCAGUUUGGGCGGUAGGAGAAUUGCAAAGAAAUGUGGCACUGCCUCGGUAGUGUGUUAUAGUCUUUGUCGAUACUGCCAGCCUAGACUGAGGACUGCGGCUUCGGCCUAGGAUGUUGGCAUAAUGAUCUUAAGUCGCCCGUCUUGAACCACGGACCA